rnacentral:rRNA from 1 species
GAUGAACGCUGGCGGCGUGCCUAAUACAUGCAAGUCGAGCGAACAGACGAGGAGCUUGCUCCUCUGACGUUAGCGGCGGACGGGUGAGUAACACGUGGAUACCCUACCUAUAAGACUGGGAUAACUUCGGGAAACCGGAGCUAAUACCGGAUAAUAUAUUGAACCGCAUGGUUCAAUAGUGAAAGACGGUUUUGCUGUCUCUUCUAGAUGGAUCCGCGCCGCAUUAGCUAGUUGGUAAGGUAACGGCUUACCAAGGCAACGAUGCGUAGCCGACCUGAGAGGGGGAUAGGCCACACUGGAACUGAGACACGGUCCAGACUACUACGGGAGGCAGCAGUAGGGAAUCUUCCGCAAUGGGCGAAAGCCUGACGGAGCAACGCCGCGUGAGUGAUGAAGGUCUUCGGAUCGUAAAACUCUGUUAUUAGGGAAGAACAAAUGUGUAAGUAACUAUGCACGUCUUGACGGUACCUAAUCAGAAAGCCACGGCUAACUACGUG